rnacentral:rRNA from 1 species
UACGGGGGGGAGCAAGCGUUUGUUCGGAUUUACUGGGCGUAAAGGGCGCGUAGGCGGUCGUGACAAGUCACUUGUGAAAUCUCCGGGCUUAACUCGGAACGGUCAAGUGAUACUGUCGGACUAGAGUACAGAAGGGGCAACUGGAAUUCUCGGUGUAGCGGUGAAAUGCGUAGAUAUCGAGAGGAACACCUGCGGCGAAGGCGGGUUGCUGGGCUGAUACUGACGCUGAGGCGCGAAAGCUAGGGGAGCGAACGGG